UCGUGCUUUCUGUGAAAAUUUUCGGUGUUCGCUUACUCUUUGUUCCCAUUUUACCAUCUUUUCUUCGAUCGCGCGACAAGUCCGACCGGCUGAUAGGUGAAUCGCGAUAUUUCGUCGAAAUACCUAUCAAUGUGUGGUCUGUGUUUGUAUACUGUAAAGAGCGACAACAAUGACAGCUGUUGCAACUCGUCUCCUUGUCCGGAACUCGCGUCGAAUCCAAAGUCCAUUGAAAAUUCGGCGAUAGAGACUAAAGAAACAGCAAUGGAGUGCGAAAACAAUGUCAACAGCUCGCAGGAUACUACCUUGCAAGAAUCAUCUACUGAGAAUGUAGACUUUACAGUGAUUUACAACAAACAGAAGAUUAGUGUAAAUUUUGCUUUGGAUUGCACAGUUGCCGAGUUAAAGACAUAUUUGCAAAAAAUUAUCUCAGUACCACAAGCGAUGCAGAAAGUUAUGUUUAAAGGAUUAGCCAAAGAUGAUCAGACUCUUAGAAACUUGGGAGUCACGAAAGGUGCCAAAGUCAUGAUAGUUGGAUCAAAGUUAGAUGACGUAUUGGCUGUGUCAAUUCCGACGAAACAAGACCUCAUCGACGAGGCUGUUUCUUCGGUGAGCAAAGAACCUCUUUCGCAACAAAAAAUCCAUAGGAAAGUUUUAGAUAAAGGUAUUCCAGAAGAUGUGAUGCCAGGGAUAUUAGAUAGCAAGGAACCUUUGCCUGAAUUUCCAUUAGCUGGAAUGUUAAAUAAGUCUGGAGGGAAAGUCAGGCUAACAUUUAAAUUGGAGCAAGAUCAGCUUUGGAUCGGCACGAAAGAAAGAACAGACAAAAUACCUAUGAAUUCAAUAAAAGGCGUCCACAGUGAACCUAUUCAUGAUCAUCCUGAAUAUCAUAUUAUGGCAAUACAAUUAGGUACUACGGAAGCAUCAAGGUAUUGGAUAUAUUGGGUCCCUGCCCAGUACAUAUCCGCUAUUAAGGACGCUAUUCUUGGCAAAUGGUGUUACUUCUGAUUGAUAAUUGCCGGAAAUUUCGAUUUCUGUAAAGCUUAAUUAAUCGGGUGUAAACAUUGAUACAAACUGCUGUUACAUUGACAUAAAAACUGUCAGCUAGUCACACACAUUUUUAACACUGCAACAAAAAGAAAUACAUAACAUGCGCAUUCGCCCGCAAAAAAAAAACACACACACGUACACAUCUUUUAUGAAAUAGAUUACAACACAUUAUAUCGCUUGGAACAGAUAUAAUCCUUGUAAAUAAAAAACCAGAAUAAAUUUCUGCAUCAUUACAUUAACUUGACAGCAGAAUAACAACGAAAAUUUCGUGUUGAAAUGAAAUAAAGAAAUCCGUUCAACAUUUUGUGAUUGGCCUAAUAAUAAAA